CAGUCGCCACGGUAACACGGAGGGUGCAAGCGUUAAUCGGAAUUACUGGGCGUAAAGCGUGCGUAGGCGGCUUCUUAAGUCGGAUGUGAAAUCCCUGAGCUUAACUUAGGAAUUGCAUUUGAUACUGGGAAGCUAGAGUAUGGGAGAGGAUGGUAGAAUUCCAGGUGUAGCGGUGAAAUGCGUAGAGAUCUGGAGGAAUACCGAUGGCGAAGGCAGCCAUCUGGCCUAAUACUGACGCUGAGGUACGAAAGCAUGGGGAGCAAACAGGAUUAGAUACCCGAGUAGUCCCUGUCUCUUAUAC
rnacentral:rRNA from 1 species